GAUGAAGAACGCAGCGAAAUGCGAUAAGUAGUGUGAAUUGCAGAAUUCAGUGAAUCAUCGAAUCUUUGAACGCACAUUGCGCCCUUUGGUAUUCCAAAGGGCAUGCCUGUUCGAGCGUCAUUUGUACCCUCAAGCUUUGCUUGGUGUUGGGCGUCUUGUCUCUAGCUUUGCUGGAGACUCGCCUUAAAGUAAUUGGCAGCCGGCCUACUGGUUUCGGAGCGCAGCACAAGUCGCACUCUCUAUCAGCAAAGGUCUAGCAUCCAUUAAGCCUUUUUUUCAACUUUUGACCUCGGAUCAGGUAGGGAUACCCGCUGAACUUAAGCAUAUAAUAGCGGAGGA
rnacentral:misc_RNA from 1 species